AGUGGAUGGGGAGCAACCUAGUUGUGCGUGUGUAAAGGUAGUGCCAAGAAAAGCGGUGAUCAUGAUGAAAAUCAAUUCCCGGUACCCGAAACCGACACAGGUGGGCAAGUAGAGAAUACUAAGGGGCGCGAGGUAACUCUCUCCAAGGAACUCGGCAAAAUGACCCCGUAACUUAGGGAGAAGGGGUGCCACCGAGAGGUGGUCGCAGUGAAGAGGCCCAGGCGACUGUUUAGCAAAAACAUAGGUCUCUGCAAACUCGAAAGAGGAGGUAUAGGGGCUGACGCCUGCCCAGUGCCGGAAGGUUAAAGAAGUUGGUCAGUCUUAGGAUAAAGCUAGCGACUGAAGCCCCGGUGAACGGCGGCCGUAACUAUAACGGUCCUAAGGUAGCGAAAUUCCUUGUCGGGUAAGUUCCGACCCGCACGAAAGGCGUAACGAUCUGGGCGCUGUCUCGGAGAGAGGCUCGGCGAAAUAGGAUUGUCUGUGAAGAUACGGACUACCUGCAUUUGGACAGAAAGACCCUAUGAAGCUUUACUAUAGCUUGGAAUUGUGUUCGGGCUUCCUGUGCGCAGGAUAGGUGGGAGGCGUAGAAGGUAUUCUUGUGGGGAUACUGGAGCCAACGGUGAGAUACCACUCUCAGGAGGCUAGAAUUCUAACUUAAUUAAGGACAGUUUCAGGUGGGUAGUUUGACUGGGGCGGUCGCCUCCAAAAAGGUAACGGAGGCGUACAAAGGUUCCCUCAGACUGGUUGGAAAUCAGUCGAAGAGUGCAAAGGCAGAAGGGAGCUUGACUGCGAGAAGUACAGUUCGAGCAGGGUGGAAACACGGUCUUAGUGAUCCGACGGUGCUGUGUGGAAGGGCCGUCGCUCAACGGAUAAAAGUUACUCUAGGAUAACAGGCUGAUCUCCCCCAAGAGUUCACAUCGACGGGGAGGUUUGGCACCUCGAUGUCGGCUCAUCGCAACCUGGGGCGGAAGUACGUCCCAAGGGUUGGGCUGUUCGCCCAUUAAAGCGGUACGUGAGCUGGGUUCAGAACGUCGUGAGACAGUUCGGUCCAUAUCCGAUGUAGGCGUGAGAAUAUUGAGAGGAGCCUUCCUUAGUACGAGAGGACCGGGAAGGACGCACCGCUGGUGUACCUGUUAUGAUGCCAAUUGUAAACGCAGGGUAGCCAAGUGCGGAGAGGAUAACCGCUGAAAGCAUCUAAGUGGGAAGCCCACCUCAAGAUGAGUAUUCUGGUGUAAGGUCACGGGAAGACGACCCGUAAAUAGGCACGAGGUGGAAGUGCAGAGAUGUAUGAAGCCGAAGUGUACUAAUAGACCGUCGGCUUGACC
rnacentral:rRNA from 1 species